AUUGAACGCUGGCGGCAUGCCUUACACAUGCAAGUCGAACGGCAGCGCGGACUUCGGUCUGGCGGCGAGUGGCGAACGGGUGAGUAAUGUAUCGGAACGUACCAUUCAGUGGGGGAUAACGCAGCGAAAGUUGCGCUAAUACCGCAUAUUCUGUGCGCAGGAAAGCAGGGGAUCGCAAGACCUUGCGCUGAUUGAGCGGCCGAUAUCAGAUUAGCUAGUUGGUGAGGUAAAGGCUCACCAAGGCGACGAUCUGUAGCGGGUCUGAGAGGAUGAUCCGCCACACUGGACCUGAGACACGGUCCAGACGCCUACGGGAGGCAGCAGUGGGGAAUUUUGGACAAUGGGCGCAAGCCUGAUCCAGCCAUGCCGCGUGAGUGAAGAAGGCCUUCGGGUUGUAAAGCUCUUUCGGCCGGGAAGAAAUCGUAUGGGUUAAUACCCUGUGCGGAUGACGGUACCGGCAUAAGAAGCACCGGCUAACUACGUGCCAGCAGCCGCCGUAAGAC
rnacentral:rRNA from 1 species